GGCGCGCCUUACGCGGUCUCCUCCAAUCCCGGCGGUCGCCCGGCGACCUUCCACCUCCAACGACCAGAUGGGGGCUAGGUUCAGUCGCCUCCGGGGAGCCGUGCUGUGGGCAGGACGUGGGGAAGGGCCGCAGCCCCACCGGCCCAGCGGAAGCAGGCGGCCCGCGCCGCUGCCGGGAGAGAGGGAAGGCGAGAUAGAAUCAUUGAUGGGCUGCACGCCCUCCCCCGCCACCCCCCAGUAUGGAUCCAGCCUGCAACCCUGACAUGUGCCCCCGACGGGAAUCGAACCCAGGAUCCUUCAUUCCGAAGGCUGACGCUCUGUCCACGGAGCCAGACCAGCCAGGCGGCCGUUACUCUCACACGUUCAGGAUGCAAAGGGGAUAAGGCGGGAAGCCCCUCCCACCAAUGUACUUCCCGUAAUCACUUACUCAGGAAGACGCACCAGCUGCCUGCAAAGUGCCAGGCAUAUUCCUGGUCCUGGGGCGCAGCAGGGAGCUGGGCAGACAGGCUGCAGUCCGCAGGCCGCCUGUGACCGGUGCACAAUGAAGCAGGCGGGGAGGGCACCGACGGGCAGAGGUUUGCAGGAGAGGGAGCAGGCUAUACAGACAGGAGGGAAGGGCCCCAGCUCUGGGCCGAAGGAGCCACAGGAGCAAAGGCCCGGGUCCGGGUUCAGCAAAGGAGAGGAGCGGUCCUGACGCCCUCCAGGAAGCUGGCCAGGCUGUGGCUCUCCCUCAGGGGGGCGGUGGGAGCAGGAAUUAGGGAGUUUCCCUUCCGCGUGAGUUUCCUGUGACUGCGUCGCAUAUCACUACUAACUUAGUGCUAAAUGUCUUAGAUCUCGGAGGUCGGGAACCUGAAGUGGGUUCCUCUGGGCGAAAAUCAAGCUUCCUGCAGGACUGGCUCCGCUGGAGGCUCUGGGCUUCAGUGCCCACCCCGCCUUCUUUUACAAGGACCCCGUGACCACAUUGAGGGCCCAUUGGGCUCACCCAGGGCUCCCUCCCCUCUCAGGAUAAUCAAUCGCACCGCGGUGCCUCUUGCUGCGUAUGGUUAUUUGUUCGUAGGCCCCUGCGUUAGGAUGAGAUGUCCUGGUCCCGCCUCCCUCACUGAGGACCGAUGUCUGAAUGAGAAGCAUGGAGCUGGGUCGCUCUUCUGCUCGUCCGUGUCUGGGAGAGAGGUCAAGAGGCUGCCAUUGUGGGCACAGUGGGAGCUACUGAGGAGGGGCAAGGGGCACAGAGCUCGUCGAGGUGCCUGGCGCUCGGAGGCGGAGUGAAGACAACCCCCCACCGUCAGGUGUCGGGCACGGCACCCCUGGGUGGGAUCGGCCUCCGCCACCGUGCCCAGCGGGACCGGAAGUCCAUCACCUGCACGUGAAGCUGGAGGGGCUUCGCAGGUUGAAGAGGGUGAGAAGCUGACGCAGAUCGCCCGGGCUCUGGGGCUGGCCACCUCCACAGUCGCCUCGAUCCGUGUCAACAAAGACAAGAUCCGGGCCAAUUCUCAGGCCUCGGCGCCCGUCAGCGCCAAGCAGCUGACCCGCUGCCGGGGUGUGGUGAUGGGGCAGAUGGAGCGCCGGCUGAGCCUGUGGAUCGAGGAGCAGAGACGGCGGCACCUGCCAGUCAGCACGCUGCUCAUCCAGGCCCAGGCGCGCGGCUCUUCGCCCAGCUGCAGCAGGAGCAGGGCGGUGGCGCCCAGGAUGAGACCUUUGGUGCCAGCAAUGGCUGGUUUGCCCAUUUCAAGUCACGCCGCAACGUGCUGCUCACGGAUGAGCCGGCGGUGGCUGACGCCCAGGCCGCUGCCUGCUACCCCUCCGUGCUGCGCCGCAUCCUGGAGGGGGGCUGCUACUCCCCACAGCAAGUCUUCGACGUGGACGAGACCGGCCUUUCCUGGAAGCGGCUGCCCGAGCGCAUGCUGCUGGCGCUGGAGGGGGCAGCCAGGCCCGGGCCCAAGGCCCCUAAGGACCACCUGAUCCUGCUGCUGGGGGCAACGCAGCUGGCGACUUCAGCCUGAAGCCGCUGCUGGUGUCCCCCUCCGAGAACCCGCGCGCCCUCAGGGCUGCUCCAAGGCCGGCCUGCCUGUGGUCUGGCGCUCCAACCGCAGCGACUGGCUGACACCCAGCAUCUUCCAGGACUGGCUCACCGGCUGCUUCUGCCCUGUGGUGGAGAGCUCCUGCGCCAGCCACGGCCGCUCGCACCGGGCCCUGCUGCUCCUGGACGGUGCACCCUGCCACCCUCCCACCUGGGCAGCCUCUCCGCCCACGUGCGUGUGGAGUUCCUGCCCAGGAAGACGGCGGCCCUGGUCCAGCCCAUGAGCCAGGGCGUCAUCGCCGCCUUCAAGGCCCGUUACCUGCGCCGCGCGCUGGGCAAGCUGGUCCGGGAGAAGGCUGGUGGAGGCCGGCCCUCCGCGCGGGAGUUCUGGCGCAGCUAUACUGUCAUGACGGCCGUGGACAACAUCGCCCAGGCCUGGACAGACCUGCAGCCCGCCACCAUGAACAGAGCCUGGAGGAAGCUCUGGCCAGAGUGCGUGCCCCCUGGCACUGUGGUGCCCGACACCGACCCCGACCCCGGGUCCGCCGCGGCAUCGGGGCACUAGCCAGCCACGUGGGCCUUGGGGACGUGGUGGAGGCCGAUGCUGCCCGCCUGUUGCAGACCCGUGUGGAACCCCCACCCUGGGGAACCCCCCAGCCUUCCCAGGGAAAGGCCUGACCAACAGAAGCCUGGAACUGGCUCUCACUGAGGCUGUGGUGGGUGGGGGGCGGAGGAAGCUGGUGUGGGUGCACUGAGCUCUGAGCACCCGGCCCAGGCCCUGUCCCACUUCACCGCUGGCCUGCGGGUCCUCACAGAGAACGGUCCCACCCGGGAGCGCCGCCUGCGGGUGUCCCGGGGCGUCCACUGCGCCCUCGCCCCCUCCGGGAACGGCACCGCGAAAGGAGGCGGCAGGCUCGGGCCGCGGCCUCGUCAGGAGGCCCUGUGGUGCCGGCCCCACGGGAGUUGGCAGGCAGCCCGGGCUCGCCUCAGUGGGGCCGACUGGUGGGCGAGUGGCUCAGGCCACAGGCCAUGCAGGACAGACCUCGGCAGCUGGCCUGCGUGAUGGGGGCUUGGGCCUGGUGUCAGAUGACAUUUUGUUUCUGGAGGACAGACACUGCCACUUCUCACCCAUGGUUCUCCUGUCCUUUGCACUGUGGUCUCUUUCUUUCUUUCUUUCUUUCUUUCUUUCUUUCCUUUCUUUCUUUCUUUCUUUCUUUCUUAAGAGCCUUACUUUUAAAAAAAAUAUAUAUUUUAUUGAAUUUUUACAGAGAGGAAGGGAGAGGGAUAGACAGUUAGAAACAUCAAUGAGAGAGAAACAUCGAUCAGCUGCCUCCUGCACAUCUCCCUUACUGGGGAUGUGCCCGCAACCAGGUACAUGCCCUUGACCGGAAUCGAACCUGGGACCUUUCAGUCCGCAGGCCGACGCUCUAUCCACUGAGCCACACUGGUUUGGCUCUUUCUUCCUUUUUUACAGUGACACACAGCCCACCAGGGUUGGGGCACAGGAGGGUGGUUUUCUCCAACUGGCCGAGGCAGUUUGGGCCUGUGUCCUGAUCCGGAAUUGAACCUGGGACUCUUCAGUCCACAGGCUGAUGCUCUAUCCACUGAGUCAAAGCAGCUAGGGCUGAUUUUUUUUUUUUUUUUUUUUGAGAGGAAGAGAGAGAGAAAAACAUGGAUUGGCUGCUUCCCAUAUGUGCCCUGACUGGAAAUCGAACUUGCAGCUUUUUGGUGCACAGGAUGACACUCCAACCUACAGAACCACCGGGCCAGGGUGGCCACUGUGGCUUUUGGUACCAAGUCCAUGUCCUGGAUUUGGAGAUGUUUUCCUCCCUGGGCCUCUGUGGCACGUUGUCGUGGCUUCUCUCCGGCCUUUGUGACGCAUGGCCUCCGGUCCCAGCUCUUUGGGAGCUCCAGUCCCGUCCUCAGGGCUCAGUGGCCACCUCAGAACUGCCUCUCGGUACACUGGGUGCAGCCCAGCCUCUCCCCUGGACAGUCUCAUGAUCUCCCCUCAUUCCGGCCUGUUCUCCUGUCCCCACAUUUUAAAAACAGGCACUCUGGGGUGUCGACCUGACUCUGCAGACACACCACACGGGCCACCAGAUUACAGACAGCCAGGGAAGGUGUUCCCGUGUUCUAGCUGGAUGAGCAGCGGGCGCUGAGACAGGGAUGCCUGGAGCUGGUCCCUGGAAGGCCUGAAGCGGCCGUGCCCUCCUGGUGCUAAGGGACACUUGGUGCUGGCGGUGAGCAGAGCGCCUGCUGUCCGCUCUGCGCUCCGAAGCUUGCCUCGCAUGGAAUCCCCCUGCCAGCGAGUCUUGGCGCUUCCGCACGACCACAGAGCUCCUCCAUCGCGUGAAAGGCUCGCUCUGCCCGCCUCCACCCUCUCAGCCCCCAGGUGCAGCCCUCAAUGCAACGGGGGCUGAACAUGCUUCGUGGACUCGGCAGGUCCUGGUGGCUCAGGACGGCGCGAAAGAAGUGUCUCCAAGCAAAAUCGACCCAGUUUUCAAGGGAAGACAGAAGUCAACCCUGGAAACCUCCAAACAGAUGAAAACAGGAUUUGGUUUCGCAUUGAAGGGCCUUACUAAGAAGUACUCUGACAAGCGAAUGUUGUGGAAAUGAAGAGGAGAAGAUAACUGAAGAAAUAUGAUGCAAAACAAUGAGCUUGGCACAGGAAAUGAAAAUGGUAAGGCAGCAGGAGUGGCUAUAAUUGAGGUAUUUUUACCUCCAUGAAAAGAUAGAAGGACCUCUUGGAAAACCAACUACACAUCACCAGCAGAGACCUGAGGUCUGAAAUAGCCAAAACCUUUGCAUUUCAGAAAAUUAUGUCAAAAUUGUCAUAUACAGCGGGGCCUUGACUUACGAGUUUAAUUCGUUCCGUGAUGGAGCUCGUAACUCAGAUUACUCACAUGUCAGAUCAUUAAAGUGAACGAGUGAGACACGCGA